CUGUUAGCUGUUGGAGCAUCAUCAUGAUUCACAAAUCACCAUAUCAAGUCUAUGCAUAUUCUGUAAAUGAAUCCAUAUAUAAUGAUUUUCUGGUACAUAUAUAUAUGAGAAUCUUGAUAAUACUGCAGCUGCAAUCAG
rnacentral:pre_miRNA from 2 species